GACGGACAAAAUUUUGGGAUUUAUAUUAUUUAUGAAUCCAUAUGAUCGAUGGAAUUGAUGGAAUCAAUUAUGACCAACCAACUUGUGGAGGUUUUACCAUAAGUGUGAAUAGUGGAAUUGUCUUUGAACAAUUUAUUGAAAUCGUAGGAUCAUUAGUUGGUAUAGAUAUACACAUAAGUCAUAUAGAAAUGAUAUAUAGACAUCCAAAUCUAACUCCCUCGAGACUAAUAAGGUUUACAUCAUUCUCUAUACCAAAUGAACAAGCAAUGAAAACUAUGUUUUCAAUUGCAAUGCCAAUCACGAACAUGGUGCAUCUAUAUGUCAAUGUGAGUAGAGUGGGUUUGGCUAUAAACCUGAAUUCAAAACCAUUUGACCAGUUUAAAGACCGAACUCAGGUUAUUAUCUCUGAAUCUGAACUAGUUGCAUUGUCGUACAUGACGAUGAAGAAAUGGUGGCUAAUAAUGAAUAUAGGGACUUUCGAACAGAAACAGAUGAUGAGUUUGAAGAGUUUGACUUUGAUGGUUGUGAACAUGAAUUAUCAUCAAAUACACUCACUCAGAUAGAUAUGGAUGUAAUAGAUAGUAUCUGUUAGCACGACCCGAUUGUAGCCCCCAUGGUUAUUGACAAUUCAGAACUGUACAAGAAAAUGAUAUGUCAAAAUAAAGAAACACUUCAACAUAUGAUAAAAUGUUUUGCCAUUAAGAAUCAUGCACGAUAUGAGGUAGUGGAAUUAACACCGACUAUCUGGGCAAUUCGAUGUAAGAAGUGCACUAUCACCUUACAGGACAUAGAAGUAUUGUUAGGGAUACCUACCGAUGGAGAACCUGUUAUCAGUCAAGUGCAUGAAGACUGGAUAAAUUUAUGACUUGAUGACGAUGCAGAAGAGAAAAUAAUCAGAUAUGCAAUAGCAUACAUUUUACAAUUAAUGGGUGGAAGCCCAGGUAGUUUUGUGCAUCUGAUGUUCCUAUAACUAUUGGGUGAUUUACAUGAGGCGGGUCGAUACCCGUGGGGUAGAGUGUGCUUGGCAUGGUUGUCUAGACAACUAUGCAAACCAUCGAAGCGAGAUGUUCGUGACAUUGCUGGUCCCUUGAUACUUUUUCAAAUAUGGGCUUGGGAACGAUUUCCCACAAUAGCUCCCCAGCUUAGACAUGCAAAUGAUCAUCUACUACCUGGACGAGCACUUGGUUCACUAUGAAGAGACCAAUUUUGUGUAACUAGAUCAGCUACUCAUGUAGUUAGUCAAUAUAGGUACAUGUUCGACCUUCUUCAGCGUGAUCAGAUUGGUCCGACAGGGUUGCACAUUUAGUAGUGCAAUGGCGAUCUCGUAGAAGAUUUAUGACAAUAGGAGUUUCAAUUCAGUAAUUUGAUAUGGAUGUGACUCAAGAAUACAUCCACUGACAUAAUAAUAUUACGAGGCUCAACAUCACUCGACAAGGAGUAGUCAUUGGUCAUCUGAGAUCGAACAACGCAAGACUUCAUGAUGUUAUAGAUGAUCCAUAACAAGUCCUUGAUAUAUGUAAUAAUAAUGAGAGGUACAUGGAGGAGAUACAUAAUAUGUACGAUCUACCUAUUGUACCUCCACUAGUUCAUAGGGGGCGUGUUCGAGUAGAAGAAGCUGAACUCAAUGAAGUUUACCAUAAUGUGGAAGAAGCGCCUCCUACGACACAGACAUAGAGCCAAACUCCUUAUAGUAGUCCGAUGAUUAUGAUUCAGGGGUUGGUCUAUCGUCUUCAUACACGGAUGUCAGUCCAUCAACUUCUUACAUGCAUGGACACGAACGUGACUAUGGGGAACAUAACGAAUAUCUGUAUCAUGAUGCACAUGUAGAAGUAUCAGAUCGACAAGAGUACCAACAAGAACCAGAGAACCAAGAGGAUCGAGAACAACAUAGGGUUCAGAGUCAACGUCCACAACCAGCUCGAAAUCGACGACGUCG